GAGGAACCGUUGAUUCACACAAUUGGUCAUCGCGCUUGGUUGAAAAUCCAGUGGCGCGAAUCUACCGUGUGUCGGAUUAUGACUGAACGCCUCUAAGUCAGAAUCCACACUAGAAGCGACACUUGUCACUCCUCGACUGUAUCUUGACCCUCAGUAGGGGUGUCUCUUCGGCACCCCCAGGGGCCCGUGUCACUUGCAAACCUCGGUCGGGAAGCGUCUCGGUCGGGGCAGCUUUGAAGUUCAAUUUCAAACGGUCAUUGAGAAGAAUCCUUUGCAGACGACUUAAAUAGGUGACGGGGUAUUGUAAGUGGUAGAGUGGCCUUGCUGCCACAAUCCACUGAGAUUCAUCCCUUCGUCGCCUCGAUUCAG
rfam:Picea glauca, whole genome shotgun sequence.